CUCAGAUUGAACGCUGGCGGCGUGCUUAACACAUGCAAGUCGCGCGUGAAAGGACUUCGGUCCGAGUAAAGCGGCGCACGGGUGAGUAACGCGUGGAUGAUCUACCCAUGAGUUAGGAAUAACGGCUGGAAACGGUCGCUAAUACCAAAUACGCUCCGAUUUCAACUUCGGGGGAAAGGUGGCCUCUGCUUGCAAGCUACUGCUCAUGGAUGAGUCCGCGUCCCAUUAGCUAGUUGGUGGGGUAACGGCCCACCAAGGCGACGAUGGGUAGCCGGUCUGAGAGGAUGACCGGCCACACUGGGACUGGAACACGGCCCAGACUCCUACGGGAGGCAGCAGUGGGGAAUAUUGCGCAAUGGGCGAAAGCCUGACGCAGCGACGCCGCGUGAGGGGAAUGAAGGUCCUCGGAUCGUAAACCUCUGUCAGGAGGGAAGAACCGCCACGGUGCUAAUCAGCCGUGGUCUGACGGUACCUCCAAAGGAAGCACCGGCUAACUCCGUGCCAGCCGCCGC
rnacentral:rRNA from 1 species